rfam:Helianthus annuus linkage group 10, whole genome shotgun sequence.
CGGCUGUAGCUAAAUGAAUUUAGAAGUUUUACUGGCCGGUUGUCGUUAAUUUUAGUCGAUAAAUCUGCUUACCGAACUUCAUACAUCU